rnacentral:rRNA from 1 species
GUGAACGCUGGCGGUAGGCCUAACACCUGCAAGUCGAACGGCAGCACAGUAAGAGCUUGCUCUUACGGGUGGCGAGUGGCGGACGGGUGAGGAAUACAUCGGAAUCUACUUUUUCGUGGGGGAUAACGUAGGGAAACUUACGCUAAUACCGCAUACGACCUACGGGUGAAAGCAGGGGAUCUUCGGACCUUGCGCGAUUGAAUGAGCCGAUGUCGGAUUAGCUAGUUGGCGGGGUAAAGGCCCACCAAGGCGACGAUCCGUAGCUGGUCUGAGAGGAUGAUCAGCCACACUGGAACUGAGACACGGUCCAGACUCCUACGGGAGGCAGCAGUGGGGAAUAUUGGACAAUGGCCGCAAGCCUGAUCCAGCCAUACCGCGUGGGUGAAGAAGGCCUUCGGGUUGUAAAGCCCUUUUGUUGGGAAAGAAAAGCAGCAGGUUAAUACCCCGCUGUUCUGACGGUACCCAAAGAAUAAGCACCGGCUAACUUCGUG